GUUUUACGAAAAAGCUCUGGAAAUUCGAAAACAAUCGUUAGGUCCAAAUCAUGUUGAUGUCGCUAAGUCUUUUAAACAAUCUUGGUGUAAUGUAUUAUGAAACUCGGGAAUAUGACAAAGCUUUACAGUUACACAUUGGUAGCUACGUGUUUCAAAGAAAAUUGUGCCUUCCAAAUUAUGUUAAGCCUUUUUCUAAGUCAGCUCCCCUCUCCCUGAGAAUGUAAUUUUGGUACUGAACAAAACGUUUGCAGUUUGCAGUUUGUUGGGUAAAAUGAACCUAAAAAUGAAAUGGUCCUUGUCUAUAUAUAGUUUCACUGAUAUCUAGUCAAUAAACUUACUCUACAGCCCAGGAAUCAUCCUAAGUAAAACUUAGAACUGCCCA